rnacentral:rRNA from 1 species
UACGUAGGGUGCAAGCGUUGUCCGGAAUUAUUGGGCGUAAAGAGCUCGUAGGCGGUUUGUCGCGUCUGCUGUGAAAACUCGGGGCUUAACCCCCGGGCCUGCAGUGGGUACGGGCAGACUAGAGUGCGGUAGGGGAGACUGGAAUUCCUGGUGUAGCGGUGGAAUGCGCAGAUAUCAGGAGGAACACCGGUGGCGAAGGCGGGUCUCUGGGCCAUUACUGACGCUGAGGAGCGAAAGCGUGGGGAGCGAACAGG